rnacentral:lncRNA from 1 species
AGUGUUUACUUCGCCUCCACUUCUGUUCCUCCCCGCCCUGGUGCUGCUCCAGGUCACAUACUCUUCCUGAGCCGGCUUCAGCCUCUCCGCGCAGAAGUCUCCCGGAGCCAUGGCCUAGUAUUCUUAUGUGAAGUCUACCAAGCUUGUGCUCAAGGGAACCGAGGUGAAGAGCUGGGUCCUGCAGCUCCGGCGGGAGCCUCCUCAGUUCUUUUCGGACGCACUCCACCCCCGCGAAUCCGGUGGAAGCCGUGAUGCGGAGAGCCGGCUUCGUGGCCUCCCAGGCUUCGCUCUGACCCUGUCUGGGCUGGAUGGAGGCCGGACCGCCCUUCCUGGCGCCUGUGCAGAGAGGGGCAGCCUCCUGCGCGGACGACCCUGGAAACAGGAUAGACGGGCGGGUGACCCGUGACCCCGUACCCACGAGUUUGGGUCCCUUGAGGCAUCUCUCCAGGCCUCUGCCUGAUUUGCCUGAGGUUGACUGUACAUGCAAAUAUUGAGCUUUCCUCCUGGCCUCCGUGAUAAACAGAAGUUUUGAUAUUGUUAGGCGAGAUGGAAAGAAAGUAUCAAGGAGUGAGCUGAAGCCACUGCCCUUGAGAACCCUCUCGAGGAGUCUGGCCUCAUGAAGAUGCCAGAAUAAAUGGCAGUAAGAAGAAAAAGAGCAAAGAUAAGAAGAGAAAAAGAGAAGAUGAAGAAACCCAGCUUGAUAUGUUGAGGAACGCAGCUGCUCACCAGCAACGGAACAAAGCUGGACGGAGAAUGACUUUGAAGAGCUGAGAGAAGGCUUCAGACGAUCAAAUUACUCUGAGCUACGGGAGGACAUUCAAACCAAAGGCAAAGAAGUUGAAAACUUUGAAAAAAAUAAAUGUACAUUAAUUAACGUGGAAUCUGGUGAACAGUAACAAACUUUGGUGAAAUUUCAGGAACCAUAGCCAUUGAAGUGGAUGAGGGAACCUAUAUACAUGCACUCAACAAUGGUCUUUUUACCCUGGGAGCUCCACACAAAGAAGAAUCGCCCUGAAACCUGGCUAUGGAAAAUAUCUUAGUAUAAAUUCAGAUGAACUUGUUGUUGGCGUUCAGAUGCAAUUGGACCAAGAGAACAAUGGGAACCAGUCUUUCAAAAUGGUGCCUGUGCAGCAGUAUUCACUGUGAUAGGAAGUGAGAAGCAGUCUGAGUGUUCAUUGCUGAGGGAAUCAAGGGCAAAAUAUCAUGGAUGCACUCAUGGACAAAUAAGCAGCAGUUUGAAGCAACACCCUAGAUGGAUGUACAGCCAUCAAGAGGAUCUUAAAGUGUGGUCUUUAGUGGAAAAAAAGCAGAAGCAAUGUAUGGGAGACUGAGUAAUUACAUAUGAGCUCACAUCACUAUCUCUUCCACCACUGUCAUCCAUCAUGACUGAUCUGGGAGAUGAAACAGCACAGAUCUAAAGGACGUGGUAAGAAUCGAGAUCACCAGAGAUCAGUAGAUACUUGCAUACUUGGAGGAUUAACACUGUCUGGAUUCCAACGAUCAGCUGAGUAUGUUCAAGAUAAAGCUAUAGUACAUAUUUUAGAUUGGGAAUUGGCAACAAAUAGCUGUAGACUACCUUCUGAGGAAUAAGUGUUUUCACAUGUGUGGGUGUCAUUUCUAAUCCCAGCAUCACAGUCAGGUCCAGAUACCUGUUUCUGAUCUUUGGUCCUAUGCCUAAUCUCCUCCAAGAGUCCUUCCCUGGAUCUCCUAUCUAAGCAAGAUGCUCGAUGCCCACCAAUGAGUACUGCACCAAGUUCAUUUCCACUAGCCUGUGUUACAAUUUGUGUUUCUGUAUGUUUCCCUUACUUGUUAUUCUUUGUCUUCCCCAUUAGACUGAAAGCACCGCCACGGGGACCGUGUCUAGGACAUAGGAGGUCCUUAAUAAAUAUUUCUUGAGUGGAUAAAUGGUGAACCAUAGGGGUGGCAUAAGAGCAAAUAGAGGGUAGAUGAGCACUAAUCCAUUCACCACCCUGUUUAUGGGUGGUGGACCUUGGAUGGCCUUUUUCAUAGUCAAAACAUACUUUUUAGAUCUGCCUUCUUGGGAUGUAUUCAAGGAUGCUAGCCGUGUUUGAGACUGUAAAUAUGUCUAGUGAAUAGGGCUUCAGGCUGUGUGUGUUUGCCUUGUUUUGCACAGAAUUCGGCACAGCCCCAAGCACAGAUGGGUGCUUCAUAAAUAUUGUUGAAGGAUGAUGACACAAAGGAUUAUUUAAUACCUCUGACCUCAGGCCACAAACAUACUUUCAAUGUGUUUUACUUCUGAAAUCAUUUGAACCAGAAUGUUUCAGCAACACAGAUUCAUCUGCAACCACAAAUCAGACACAUUUAGAAUGACAAAGCCCCAAAAGAAUGCCAUUUUCAAGGCUGAAACUGUAUUAUUCUGGGCUAAAUGGAAUCCUUGUUUUAGUGACACUGUAAGAGUAGAAAUUAAAGACACUGAAAAUCUUCCCUUGGGGAACCACAAUUAUCUGUGAACAAUGAAAGUUUGUCUGAAUAAUUCAUCAGCCUCAAGGGUACAGGCCUCCCCUUAUUCUGGAAUCCCAGGAGUUUAGGCAAGUGUGUCAUUUAAUGGGUCUCAACUGUGUCCUCAGUUGUUAUUAUUCCAGGGCCUGGCAUUUAUGGGCACAUUCCUAUAAUUUUACUAAUUAAAAAAAAAUAAGCUAUAUGGGAAACCACUGUCAAGGUCAAAAUUUUGAAGCUGCAUUGAUUUUACCUAGGAAGAAAGAAGCUUAUAAAGUGUCCAUCAUGAGAAUCCACCUGGGACCUACACAACAGAUCAAAUACCCAGAACAAAUCACCACGUCAGAGCCCCACAGAAUUCUGAUUCCCAACCAACAAGCAUGAGUAAUCCUUUUAAAUGGUCACUUACAUAUCAGAACAGGUCCUUUGUGAAAUUUCUAAGCAAGGCCUCUGGUUUCUGACUGAAACAGAGAUUUAUUGAGAAGGAGGGGUAAAGUGAAAUCAAGAACUGCUGGGAAAUUUCCACAAGAAACAAGGACAAAUGGUUUUUGUUGUCAGAGUAAAACCAGCCUCCCCUAGCCAUGGUUUGGAAAGUUAUUUGCUAGCCCACAGGGGACAAUAUUCUCAACUGGUUUAUCAGGGACCCUUUUGAUCCAAUUAUAGUUAUUGGGCAGAUACAGUAGUACCCUAUUAUCAGAAGACCUAGUUUCAAAUCCUGAGUCAACUUCUAAUUCACUGUGUGACCUUGUACAAGUCACUUAAGCUCUCUGAUCAUUGGUUCAACAUCUUUAAUAUGAGGAGAGUAAUGCCUAUCUCAAUUACCUCAUAAAAUUAUUGCAAAGAUCAAGUGAGUUGAUAUGUUACAAAUUAUUUCUAAAUUAUAAGAUUCUGUAUAAGUGGAAGGGUUAAAUAUACUCCCAUAUUAUUAAAUACCCUACGUAUCACUCAGGAUUCUAUAUGACUCUGAGUUCUCAAUUUCUAGAAAUGGUCCCAUUUUUACUUUGUUCCCUACAAUUCUACGGAGUCUUUUUUUUUUUUAAAGGAAGGGUGUAGGCAAAGGUAAAUGGGAGAAAACAUGGAAUCACAUACCACUCUUUGGUGCUGCUAGGCAAGAAUUUUAAACUGAGUUUAGGUCACCAUCGUGGACUUAAGGUCCAUAUCACCUCAGGGAGACAAGUAGAGUGGGAGGCAUCCAAAAGGUAGGUGAUUCUUCUCCCCUCUAGUGAAGAAUACAAGGUCAAUUUACAAAAAAGCACCAGCAGCAAAUAAUUGGAAAAUUAAAUUCAUAAAACAUUUAUAAUAGCGUCAAAAAAAAGAAAAUACUCAGAAAUAAAUUUGACAAAAAUUGUAUAAGAUCUCUACAUUAAAAAUUAUGAAAUACAUGUAAGAGAAAUUAAAGAAAACCUAAAUAGAGAGAUAUACCACAUUCAUGGAUUGGAAGAUUCAAGAUUAUUAAAAUACUAUUCUCCCCAAAUGGCUCUAUAGAUUCAACAUAAUCCCAAUCAAAAUCCCAGUAGGCUUUGGUAGAAAUUGAGAUGUUGGUUCUAAAAUGAAAUAAAAUGCAGAGGACCUAGAAUAUAUAAUUUCCCUUUAAUUUGACAAAGAAGAAAAACAUGUUGGGAAGCUCACCUAAUUUCAGUGUAAUAUUUACAUACGAAUCAACAAAUGGAUCAGUGGUAUAGAAUAGAGAAUCCUGAAAUAGAUCUACAUAUAUAUGGCCAACAGAUUUUUAAUAAUGGUGCCAAGGCUAUUCAGGGGAAAGAAAAUUCUUUUUUAAAAAUGGGAUUGGAAAAACUGGAUAAGGGAAAUAAGUGAACCUCGACCCCUACCUUAUACCGUGCUCAAAAAUUAAUUCAAAAUCAUUCUAGACAUAAAUGUAAAAGUUGAAACUGCAAUGACUCUAGAAGAAAAUAUAGAGAAAAUAUCUCUCUGACCUUGGAGGAAGCAAAAAUUUCUUGUAGUUGACAAAGACAUAUAUAAUAAUCAUAUAAUCCAUUAAUUAUAAGAAAAAUAAACUAGACUUCAUCAAAAUUUAAAACUUCUGCUCAUCAAAAGAUACUAAUAAGAUUAAAAGUAGCCAGGUUCAGUGGCUCAUGCCCAUAAUCCCAGCACUUUGGGAGGCUGAAGCAGGGGGAUCACUUGAGGCCAGGAGUUUGAGACCAGCCUAGGCAACAUAGCAAGAUCUCAUUUCUACAAAAAAUGUUUUUAAAAUUAACUGGGUAUGAUGGCGCAUGUGUAGUCCUAGCUACUCAGGAGGCUGAGUUGGGAGGAUUGCUUGAGCCCAGCAGUUGAAGGUUACAGUGAACUAUGAUCGUACCACUGCACUCCAGCCUGGGCAACAGAGUGAGACCCUUUCUCUAAAAUAAACAAAUAAAUAAUUUUUAUGUCAUCUGAAACUAAGAUCAUACUGAAAUUUUCCCUCAGUGUCUCCAGAAUGUCUUUUUUGAAUGGUUUGCCCAAUGUAGUAUCUCAUUUAGAACCACGUGUUAUGGCCCUUCAGUAUUUUUUUGUUGUUGUUGUUGUUGAGACAGAGUUUCACUCUUGUUCUCUUGUUGCCCAGGCUGGAGUGCAAUGGCAUGGUAUCGGCUCACUGCAACCUCUGUCUCCUGGGUUCAAGCGAUUUUCCUGCCUCAGCCUCCCAAGUAGCUGGGAUUACAGGCAUGCGUCAUCAUACCUAGCUAAUUUGUCCCAUAGAAUCUCAUCUUCUGGAUUUUGUGGCUAUUUUUUCAUGGUGUUGAUUCAUUCAUAAGGUAAAAUUUAUAUACAGUGAAAUGCAUUUUAUGGGUACAAUUCAAUGAGUUUUGAAAAGUGUGCACAUCCAUGUAACCACCACCCAGAUUAAGACACAGAACAUUCCCGUCACCUCAGAAUGUUUCCCGGUGCCUUCUUCCUACCCCUCAUACAGUAACAUUGUAAUAAUUUCUAUUGCCACAUAUAUGUUUACCUGUUCUGAAACUUCACAGAAAUGGAAUUAUAUAUUAUGUAUUUGUUUGUUACUGGCUUUUUAUCAUUUAAUUUUUUUUUAUUCAUCCACACCCACUGCAUGUGUCAGUAUUUCAUUCCUUCUUGUUAUUGUGUAGUAUACGAAUAUAUAAAUAUAUCACUAUUUUUGCAAUCUCCUGUUGAUGGACAUUUGUAUUGUUUCCAGUUAUUAGCUAUUAUGAAUCAUGCAACUAUGUAUAUUAUUAUACAGGUCUUUUGUGGACACAUCUCCAUUAUUUUUGGGUAAAUAUUUAGGAAUGGAAUGUUGGUCAGCUGUAGGCUCCAUUUUACAAGAAACUGCCAAACUGUCUUCCAUUCUACACUUUUGUUUGCAAUGUAUGAAAGUUCUGGUUGCUUCCUAUCCUAAUCAACAUUUGGUGUGGGACUACAGGAACAUGCCACUACACCUGAUUGAUUAAAGAAAAUUUUUUGUAGAGACAGGGUUUUGCUCUAUUGCCCAGGCUGGUCUUGAAUUCCUGGCCUCAAGUGAUCCUCCCACCUCAGCCACUCAAAGCUCUAGGAUUACAGGUGUGAGUCGCCACGACCGGCCAAAAUUUAUUAAUUGGUAGUUGGCAAUUGUUGAUGGAAAAGAAAAAGCAGGUUACAAGCAAUGUACUUUUUGAUGUCUUUGGUAUUAUCACAGGCAAAUAAAUUAUAUAUGUAUAUAUAUUAUGUAUAUUAUAUUAUGUAUUUUAAUUAUAUGUGUAUAACGUAUAUGUAUAGAAAGAGAUACAGUAAGGAAUAUAAGUUUUUCUAUUAACAUAGGUAACCCAAGGUAGGGGAUAAGAUGUUUACAUUCUCUUAUUUGUGUUUUCUAACUUUCCACCAGGCACAUACACUGUUUCUAUAAUAACACGUGCUGGUUGAAAAUGUCAGACUCUGAAAUUCAAUGUUUUAUAAUAUAGGGUGAUAGACAAGAGGGAUGGAUAGAGCAAGAAGAAUGAAACCUAAUAGGGUUAGUUAGAGCCCUACUGAGUGAAUCUCUUGUUGGGUAUUUUCCAUGCACUGUCUCGUUUCAUUCUUACAAUAAACCUAUGAAGUAUCAUUUUUCUAUUUGUACAGCGCUAAUAAGGCUAUAAGUUAGCAUUUGAACAUAAUAUAAUCUGACCUCAAAACCCAUGCUUUUUUUCCCUCACUUAUACAUACAUACUUUCAGGUUAAUAAGUUCUGUUGCUAAACAUUUAUGUAGUAUUUACUAUGUACCAGGCACCAUGUUAAAUGUUCUACAUGAAGCACCUCAUUUGUACUUCAUGACAAUCCAUAUAAAGAUACCACUAUUAUUAUCCACAUUUUACAGAUAAGAAAACUGAGGCACAGAGACUAAAUAAAUCUAAAUUCCCACAGCUAGUAAGUGGCAGAGCCAAGAAUUAAGCUCAGGCCACCUGAUUCUCCAGCUUCUACCCAAUACACUAUACCGUGUUCCCAUGUUUUCAACACAUUCCCAAAUGGAGCAGGGGAGAAUAAGCGCCAGCAACCAACAAAGGAGACAUCGACGCCAAAGGUCUACCAUAAAGUUUUUCACGGUGACAUCCUUGCUUACCUGUCCAGGGCCAUGCUGGUUGGCAUACUCCUCCCAAACCCGCGGACCCCCAUCUGAUGGAAAUAUGGAAUGCAAGAGAGGUUGGCAGCAAUGAUGGCCAGGGAGUCAGAAGGGCUCACAAAGAAGCCAUUUUGGCCUAGGAUCAUAUAACGGUCCUGUAGGAAGGAAUGCGUAAAAAUGAUCGGACAGAAGCAUCUGCUAGCAGCCCAUUCCCAUAAUCAUCACAAUCCACUUUACUGCCAUCUUAUAUUUAACAAUCUAACAACUUGAAUGAGGCCAAAGAGAACAUGGGAAACAUUCUUCAAAAUCUCUGAGUACCAAGGGCCCAGAUUCUUGACACACCAGGAAUAUGUUCCACCUGUUGAAAUGUGGCUCAAGCUUUAGAAGCCCCCAAAUACCUAAUUCUUUCUUUCUCCCAAACAUAAUGGAGAACACUGCUUCUUGCAGAAAUAGCUGAUUUCUUAACUUGGUGCUUUCAACAACACCAGCCAUAAAUAAAGAUUUAUUGAAUAAUAUAUAUUUUUAAA